ACUGUUUUUUACCAUUCUGCAAAAUACAGAGUGUUUUAUAAAUAAACGUUAAAAUGUAUAGAAACUUACGUAAUAGAAAAUAGAUAUUGUACAGGGCGUCAAUAAGUUACAUUUCAUGAAUGAAAUACCAUGACGUCACUUUUACUUUUCCUCCCUAGGGAGGAAAAAUAUUUUCCUCCCUAGGGAGGAAAAGUACAACUUUGCACCCUACAAUCAGGUCCGGAAAAGUAUACUUUCGGUAGA